UACGGAGGGUGCAAGCGUUAUCCGGAUUCACUGGGUUUAAAGGGUGCGUAGGCGGGCAGGUAAGUCAGUGGUGAAAUCUCCGAGCUUAACUCGGAAACUGCCGUUGAUACUAUUUGUCUUGAAUAUUGUGGAGGUAAGCGGAAUAUGUCAUGUAGCGGUGAAAUGCUUAGAUAUGACAUAGAACACCAAUUGCGAAAGGCAGCUUACUACACAAACGAUUUGACGCUGAGGCACGAAAAGCGUGGGGGAUCAAAACAGG
rnacentral:rRNA from 1 species